rnacentral:rRNA from 1 species
AAGGAUCAUUAAUGAAGUCUGGGCCUCGGCCCUCUCUCUUCUACACACUUGUGAACUUACACCGUUGCUUUGGCAGGUCUCCGGACGGGCGUCAGCCUCGAAGGUCAGGUCGAAAGACGCCUGCCAAAGACACUUAUCCACCCUUUUUUAAUUGUCUGAAUCUUGUUUAUAACAAAUAAAAUAAAACUUUCAACAAUGGAUCUCUUGGCUCUGGCAUCGAUGAAGAACGCAGCGAAAUGCGAUAAGUAAUGUGAAUUGCAGAAUUCAGUGAAUCAUCGAAUCUUUGAACGCACAUUGCGCCCUCUGGUAUUCCGGAGGGCAUGCCUGUUUGAGUGUCAUUAAUCUCUCACAAGACCUUCUGGUCUUGUCGAUGUUGGGAGCUGCGACCCCCCAGGGGGACGCUCUCCUCAAAUGCAUUGGUGCGGCCCGCCGCCCGGUUACACAACGUUCUAGGUUCGUCCAACUCGUUGAAGCCGGCGCAAAUCUGGCGCUGCACCUUAAGCCCGCCCUGAGCCUCGAGCUCCUGGCAUAACUUCAUUUAUUGACCUCAGAUCAGGUAGGAAUACGCGCUGAACUUAAGCAUAUCAAUAAGCGCAGGAAAAGAAACUAACUAGGAUGCCUUCAGUAACGGCGAGCGAAGCAGGCAUAGCUCAAAUUUGUAAUCUGGCGCCUUUGGCGUCCGAGUUGUAUUUUCUAGAAGCGAGUUCGGCGACAGCUCCUACCCAAGUCCGUUGGAACGCGGCGUCAUGGAGGGUGAGAAUCCCGUGAAUGGUAGGAUGUCUGCUGCUAUGUGAACCGCCUUCGAAGAGUCGAGUUGUUUGGGAAUGCAGCUCUAAAUGGGAGGUAAAUUUCUUCUAAAGCUAAAUAUUGGCCAGAGACCGAUAGCGAACAAGUAGAGUGAUCGAAAGAUGAAAAGAACUUUGAAAAGAGAGUUAAACAGUACGUGAAAUUGUUGAAAGGGAAGCGCUUGAGAUCAGACUUCCUGUCUGGACUGUCCUUGCUUUUGCUUGGGUCAACAGUCCAGGCGUGGAGGCCAGCAUCAGUUUUGACGGCCGGAUAAAGGCCCUGGGAAGGUAGCUCCCCUCGGGGAGUGUUAUAGCCCAGGGUGUGAUACGGCCAGUUGGGACUGAGGACCGCGGCUCUGCCUAGGAUGCUGGCGUAAUGGUCUUAAGCGACC